rnacentral:lncRNA from 1 species
GAAUUUUAAAAAGCAGCACACAUUGUAAAGUACACAAGGCAAGUAAAAUAAGCAAUUAUUUUAAUAAAUAUAUAACAUAUAAAAAUGGUAAUAAUGUAUUAAAAAUAAAUAACUGCAGUGUGUAGAAUGCUUGAAUAAAGAUUUCAUGCACCAGGACGAUACUCAACAGCUGUUCUUGAAGGCAGUCAAGGUAGUGUUGCCAAAGUUGUUAAUUACAUUAAAAUUUCUUAACCUAUCCGAUAUUUAUAUGGAUUCCAGAAUGAGACCUCUUUUCAGAGAACUGCAGAAUUCUAGUCAAAAUGAAAAUAAACAAACACUGCUAAAUAGUGCUCUUUCACAGUUUUUUUGGGCUUUGCAGGACU